UGGGGAAUAUUGCACAAUGGGCGCAAGCCUGAUGCAGCCAUGCCGCGUGUAUGAAGAAGGCCUUCGGGUUGUAAAGUACUUUCAGCGGGGAGGAAGGGAGUAAAGUUAAUACCUUUGCUCAUUGACGUUACCCGCAGAAGAAGCACCGGCUAACUCCGUGCCAGCAGCCGCGGUAAUACGGAGGGUGCAAGCGUUAAUCGGAAUUACUGGGCGUAAAGCGCACGCAGGCGGUCUGUCAAGUCGGAUGUGAAAUCCCCGGGCUCAACCUGGGAACUGCAUUCGAAACUUGCAGGCUAGAGUCUUGUAGAGGGGGGUAGAAUUCCAGGGGGAGGCGUUAAAUGCCGUAGGAGCUGGAGGGAUACCGGUUGCGAAGGCCGCCCCCUUGACAAAUACUAACCGUUAGGUGGGAAAGCGGGGGGAGCAAACAGG
rnacentral:rRNA from 1 species